rnacentral:rRNA from 1 species
GAUAAACGCUAGCGGCAGGCCUAACACAUGCAAGUCGAGGGGCAGCAUAGAUUGUAGCAAUACAAUUGGUGGCGACCCGCGCACGGGUGCGUAACGCGUAUGCAACCUACCCGUCACAGGGGGAUAAUCCGGAGAAAUCUGGUCUAAUACCCCAUAACAUAUGGAUCGGCAUCGGUUCAUGUUGAAAUUUUCGGAGGUGACGGAUGGGCAUGCGUAGCAUUAGCUUGUUGGUGAGGUAACGGCGCACCAGGGCGACGAUGCUUAGGGGGACUGAGAGGUUUUCCCCCCACACUGGUACUGAGACACGGACCAGACUCCUACGGGAGGCAGCAGUGAGGAAUAUUGGUCAAUGGGCGCAAGCCUGAACCAGCCAUGCCGCGUGCAGGAUGACGGCUCUAUGAGUUGUAAACUGCUUUUGUACGAGGGUAAAGUGGGUUACGUGUAACCUUUUGAAAGUAUCGUACGAAUAAGGAUCGGCUAACUCCGUGCCAGCCGCCGCAGUAA